AAAAGAAAAGAAAAGAACUUUUAUUAGAAAAGCAAUUGUCCCUGAUUGAAUUCCAAGAAAAGAUGAAUAUUUGUGAUGAGUAGCUACUCUAUUUAUAGCAUACAUUCGACUUAAAAUCUAAGCAAUUACAUUACUGGAAUGUUCUACAAGAAACUGCGGGCUAAAAUAAAGUAGCUCAAAAUCUAAGCAAAAGCAGCAAAAGUGACUCUGGAGGAUGGCACGGCCGUGCCAAGCUUCUGACUUUGGGGAGACAUAUUUUUGUCUCUGAAUCUUCGUAUUUUCGUACUAAAUCAGCUCCAAGUCCCUUUCUUUUGCUCCAAGACUCAAUCGAUCCAAUAUUCGUUCCUGAAAUAUAAUAAAAUGCAAUUUGUAGUAAACUAACUCAAAAAGGAAAUUAAAUAAUACUAAUAUAAAAUAAAAUAAAAUCUAUUUAAAACUAAACUAAAUAACAUAUAAAAAUAGAUAUUAAAUGACUCAUCAUUACCGUACUGGGUUUCUUAAUUGGUCCAGAACCUGAACAUGAAAAUAAAUAUGGAAUUUUUAUUUUUUUAUUAAAAUAAAGAUGGAGUCUUUAGUUACUGGAAUUAAUAUUUCAAGAUUAUAUACAAUAUCUAGUUCCCUUAAGCAUAUGCCAAUAUUCAUGAAUGAAAGGGGGGAAGUAUAUCCAAAGCAUAAAACCCCGAGUAUUAGCCUAUAUAACUUUUUGGGAGUGUCAUAUAUUACUUGACAGACACGUAAUCAGUCAAGAAGAGUGAGAGAGUGACUAUUAUAUAUUAUUAGUAAGCAAUAUACUCAUUAUAGGCAAUAUCUUUUUUGGCAAGUAACGGUGAUAUUGCAUUUCAAUUUGUUUGGGAGUUUGGAGAGGAUGGGAAAACUUUGUCGGGUGGAAAAUAUGAGGAAAAUUUGAAACAUCAUUCUAAAAAUUUAAAAGAGUUGUUUUUAAAAAAUGAUAAAUUAAUGCAUGUGAUUACUAUAAUUUUAAUUUUAAAAAUAUUAUAACAACACACAUUAAAUUGAAUAAUUCACAUAAACCCUCCAAAACCUCUAAAACCCUCCUCCAAUACAAUUUUUUAGUUCCUCAAAUGAGAAGAGUUUUGUAUUAUCAAGAAAAGUUAAUCCAUUUAAGCCAUUCCUUCCCAUUUUCCUCCAUUUCUUCCACUUGUUCAUUACUUUUUUUCUAAAAUUUUUCAUUCAUUCCCGUGUAAACUCGCAAACAAAGCUUAAAGCUUAUAACACACAUAUACAUCUUAGCCAUUAACUUUCCAAAGAAGAGCUGCUCUGCGAGUGUUUAGCUUAGACACAUCUACAUUGUCUCUUAUUUUUUGUUUUUCAGGUAAUACUAUUUGAGGUAUGUAGGAUACUAAAUAUAUAGUAUCAGAAUAGUUCAUUCGCUAUAACCAUUUGGAUUAUUCCUCCUCCUUCAAUCCUUUCAUUUAUUUUUUGUUUUUAUUUUCAAGGGGGUUUAUUUAUACUUAAUAAUUUUCUGAAUAAAGAUCCUUAAAAAAAUCUGAAUAAUGAUGAAUGCUUGUUUGUUUUAUUAAAUAUAUAAUCACCAAAAAAGACACGCUAUAAACGAUAAAAGAAAUAAUAAUAAUAAUGAAAUGAUGGUUGAAAAAUAAUUAACUAUUAUGUUAAUUAAGAUUUUAGCUCAAAUCUUUAAUAAGGUGAAGUUAUCAAUUGAGAGAACAAA
rnacentral:lncRNA from 1 species